ensembl:lncRNA
GUUCACGAGCCACAAAAGGGGGGCCACCAACAGCGAAUGGCUUCAGCGAAGUCAAGCCAUUUCUUUCCAAGGCCUCACACAUUAGUCCACACCAAGUCCGACCAUCUGAGUACCUUGGAAGUGAAUGUAAAUGCCUACAUGAAUAGAGCAAGCUGGACUUUUUGUGAAACACUAAUAAUUUUAUGUAUAUGGUGGUAGCACUCAGGAACUGCUGACCAUGGAGUAAACACAGUUUCUGCCUGAAGGCUGGAAGGUACAUUUCUGUACAGAAAAUACUUCAUAGAAGUUGUAUUACCACCAGCAAGAUCUUGCUCUGCAAAUCUACUUAAUCUAUGUAUUUAGAAUCAUGUGUGCUCUAGUGACAUAAUAAAGGUCAGUUAAUUCUUUUCCCUACUCUGAUGACAGUGAGGUUAAGCAGUUCUCUUUCAUUCAAAAGAAAUACCUCCUUGAUUAGAGUAACAGAUACAUCUAGGAAGCUGUAGCUACAGGUACAAUUUAACCUACAAAAUAUAGGGACUUCUUUGCAGAUACUUGAAUACACCAGAAACUGAUUGCCAACUGAUUUUCAGUUUACAAGAAACUGUAGAGUCUGCUUUUUUCCAGAAGUUUGGAGUAAUGUUAUUGAAGCUUGUAGAGCUUCACUACUGUAAAAGUGCUCUUCUGUAGCCAUAACUAUGGCUGGACAGAGCAUUCAAAUCAAACUCCCACGUGUAUCGUGAGCUCCCAACUCCACUUUCCUUGCAGGCCUCCUGACCAGUGGGUGUAGACAAGCACCAGAACCUCUUGCUGGCCUUGCAACACACUGGGAACUUCUGAUGGUUCAGUUUGCUGCCUGGCUAACCUGGACAUCAGGUCGCAGGAAGACACUGUGGCACUGCUGCAUAUUAGCGUUUCUGAACCCGGAUCACUGUUUGCAAGGCAUCCACCUUCGUGGAUCUGUUUCUCUUGCGGUCCCUCACCAUUUGCUGCACAGUAGCCGGUGAUACACCGCCCUUGCCCUCUGCGUGACGUGACUUAAAGCCUACAUUUCUUAAAAGCACUCGGCUCCUGCUGUGGAAUGAUGCAGCUUUUGCCCUCUGUACAACAAACCCAGCCACACAAGUAGUCGUGAUCUCAUGCCGGAAAACUUCUGAAGGACAGCGGCCUUGUGCAGAGCAGCAAUCCCGAGCACCACAUCAGUGUCACGCCGCUCGCUCAGUCUUCUCACCACUUCUCUGGUUUCAAGGUAUUUUUUUUUUUUUUUUUGGUUCCCCAAACACUGUAAAAAUAUUUGGCGUGCUUAGGAUUGACAGUAAUCAUCCGUUGGAAGAGUGAGCAGUUCAGCUGAUCGGGGUGCUAAAGACAACACCGCAGACGUACACAUUCGCCGAGGGAGGAGCCAGCGGUCUCAGCAGCUCAUUUCUGAGUUAUUUUCAAGGUGGAUCUACUUCUUCUUCAGUUUCCUUCCGAACCUCUGGAGCUCAGGCUCCAGUGUAGCCCCGUGGGGAUUUUUGAGCCCCCGGUGCCAUUUUCUCCUCGAGCAGUGGUUUGAGCUCAGGGCACUGAGGCACAGAGGCGGGAGCCUUUGUUGUCGAUGUGGCUCCCUUACGCUGCGGCUACAGAAAGCUCCCGUCUCUCAUCUAUUUAAAAGAUCUAUUUUAGAGCAGUUUUAAAUAGAUGAGAACCAAGGAGGAGGGGGCCGCUGUGCUCUUUAACUCCGGCUUUUGCCUGGAAUCCUGUCAAUGCGAACCCCUCCUGCUCCCCGUGCCGGCUGUGCCAGUAGCGUUUAAGAGGCAAAUCUCCUGGGUUUGGAGGCAGGGUCAGUGUCCUUAAAGCUCUGGAAAGGAGCAGGGGAGGACCUGCGCAGGAAGACCUGAAUUCCAAGCUGCUGCAUUCACAAGCUGUCUGAUUCUCCGAGAGGUUUUCUGGGACAGAACUCAAACACAUCAGAUUCCGAGUACUCUAAAAGAUGGAAUCUUCACGGUAUUAUGCAGACUUUUUAUUUACAGCGCUACGAGGUGGCAUCAGUUAAGAUACGCUGUCGAUAAACGCAGGCAGUUUUGCUCACACGUUAAUCCCCGGGGUACGCUUCGGGUCUGUGUUUUGUUCUUUAGGAAAUACACAACAACGACGACAAACAAACAAAAGAGUACGGUGCCCCCGAUGCCGCGGGGCUCUCUGCCGAGUGGUCUUCAGCCCCCGGCUCCGACCGCGCGGAGAGGAGCGCGCCUGGCCUCUCGCACGUCUCGGUGCUUUCCUUUGCGCUCCCACCUGCGCAGCGACG